rnacentral:rRNA from 1 species
GAUGAACGCUGGCGGCGUGCUUAACACAUGCAAGUCGAACGGAAAGGCCCAAGCUUGCUUGGGUACUCGAGUGGCGAACGGGUGAGUAACACGUGGGUGAUCUGCCCUGCACUUCGGGAUAAGCCUGGGAAACUGGGUCUAAUACCGGAUAGGACGAUGGUUUGGAUGCCAUUGUGGAAAGUUUUUUCGGUGUGGGAUGAGCUCGCGGCCUAUCAGCUUGUUGGUGGGGUAAUGGCCUACCAAGGCGUCGACGGGUAGCCGGCCUGCGAGGGUGUACGGCCAGAUUGGGACUGAGAGACGGCCCAGACUCGUACGGGUGGCAGCAGUGGGGAAUAUUGGACAAUGGGAGCAAGCCUGAUGCAGCGACGCCGCGUGGGGGAUGAAGGCCUUCGGGUUGUAAACUCCUAUCGGUAGGGAAGAAGCGUUUUUGUGACGGUACCUGGAGAAGAAGCACCGGCUAACUACGUG